rnacentral:rRNA from 1 species
AUUGAACGCUGGCGGCAUGCCUUACACAUGCAAGUCGAACGGCAGCACGGGUGCUUGCACCUGGUGGCGAGUGGCGAACGGGUGAGUAAUAUAUCGGAACGUACCUUAUUGUGGGGGAUAACGCAGCGAAAGCUGUGCUAAUACCGCAUAAUCCCUAAGGGGGAAAGCGGGGGACCGUAAGGCCUCGCGCAAUUAGAGCGGCCGAUACCUGAUUAGCUAGUUGGUGAGGCAAAGGCUCACCAAGGCAACGAUCAGUAGCUGGUCUGAGAGGACGAUCAGCCACACUGGGACUGAGAAACGGCCCAGACUCCUACGGGAGGCAGCAGUGGGGAAUUUUGGACAAUGGGGGCAACCCUGAUCCAGCAAUGCCGCGUGAGUGAAGAAGGCCUUCGGGUUGUAAAGCUCUUUUGUCAGGGAAGAAACAGCAGCUCUAACACAGUUUGCGAAUGACGGUACCUGAAGAAUAAGCACCGGCUAACUACGUGCCAGCCGCCGCAGUAA